rnacentral:lncRNA from 1 species
UGUUCCCCUCGUUGCCAGUUCGUCUUUGUACCUCCAUGUCAUUGAGUUCCAGAGGUGUUCCUUUGUGCGUCCUGUUCCUGUCUCCUUUCGUCGACUUCCAGCACUACAGAAAAACUACUGGCCAGAUUUUCAUGAAACUUUGGGGAAGAAAACCACCAACAAUAACUAUGCAUUCAAGGUCAAUGCAGAUUAGACCGACAAGACCAAACUGCCAUUCCUUACGGGUAAGUGCUCUCCCAUCCGAGACUUUACUAUCAACUUUGGCACUUCGGUUGUUUCCCCGACUCGGACUGCAAGGAAUCUGGGUGUGACACUGGACGACCAACUGUCCUUCAAGGCCAGCAUCACUGCUAAUCUUACAGAUAUACUCUUCAGGAGGAUAUGUCCCCUACUGACCCAGAAGAUGACGCAGGUUCUGGUCCAGUCUCUUGUUAUCUGACGGCUUGACUACUGCAACUCCCUCCUGGCUGGACUACCUUCAUGUGCCAUCCAACCUCUACAGCUCAUCCAGAAUGACUGAAAACCCACCUGUUUUGACAGCACCUUGGCCAAUAAUAAAUUUGCACUUAAAAUGAUUUCACCUGUUUGAAGCUAAGGUACUUAGAUUAUUGCUGUUCAGAGUUGUAUCCUCAUGAUUGUUUGCACCUAUUGUCGCUUUGGACAAAAGCGUCGGCUAAAUGUAAUGUAAAGCAAUUAUAGACAGCAGCACAGUAAAGUCAUCAAAACUGUUGCACUGUAUUUAGGUGGCCUGUAGAUAUUUAGGAACAAAGCUCUAGAGUAGGAAAUCAGCUGAAGGGCCACAUAUCAAAAGAAGCAACAUGUCCAUAAGAGAUUACUUUACAUCUCAUUUAGCUGACACUUUUGUCCAAAGCAACUUACAAUAAGUGCAAACAAUCAUGAGGAUACAAACUCCAAACAAUAAUCUAAGUACAUUAGCUUCAAACAGGUGAAAUCAUUUUAAGUGCAGAUUUAUUAUUGCCCAAGGUAAGUCCAUUAUUGGCCAAGGUGCUGUUGAAUCUACAAGGGAAGGUGUGAAGACUUUCUGCUGACCACGAGCUCGUUCCAACAUUUCAGAGCCAGGAUAGCAAACAGGCUGGUUUUAUUUGAGGGCUAUCUGGGUCCCACCUUGCGAGCUGGGGUGUAUGGUAUAACCAUGGCCUGGAUGUAGGAAGGACCUGAUCCGAUCACAGUACGGUAGGCCAGCGCCAGAGUCUGGAAGCAGAUUUGGGCCACUGGUGACCAGUGAAGGGAGCGGAGGAGCGGUGCAGUGUGGGAGAACGCAAGAUAUCUGAUUGCAUUGGAAGGAAUCAUUAAAGAAAAUGGCAAAGCCACCCCCUUUCUUAUACACUCUAACCUCACUCAUAAAACUGAAGCUGUUAUUUAGUUCCAACCAAAUGUGCUUGAUAAUAAAAUUGAUUGACA